GCCCUUAUAGCUCAAUGGUAGAGCUCCGUCCUGGCAAGCCAAAUGACAGUGGUUCGAUCUCCGUCCAGGACU
rnacentral:tRNA from 1 species